rnacentral:rRNA from 1 species
UACAGCGAUGACACCCUGAACAUUCCCGAUCUCGCCUGAUCUCGGAAGCUAAGCAGGGUUAAGCUGGUUAGUACUUGGAUGGGAGACACGUAGGAAGUCUUACCGUUAAAGUGU